UGCACAUUGCACCAGUAAGAGCAGUAAGAGUGUGAAGGUUCAAUUAGCAGGGUAAGAGCACAGUUCUGCUCUAAAUAUUGCAAUGCACACAACAUUAUGGGUGACAUACCAGAGUUCAAAAGAGGACAAAUUGUUGGUGCACGUCUUGCUGGAGCAUCUGUGACCAAGACAGCAAGUCUUUGUGAUGCAUCAAGAGCCACGGUAUCCAGGGUAAUGUCAGCAUACCACCAAGAAGGACCAACCACAUCCAACAGGAUUAACUGUGGACGCUGUAAGAGGAAGCUGUCUGAAAGGGAUGUUCGGGUGCUAACCUAGAUUGUAUCCAAAAAAACAUAAAACCAAGGCUGAUCAAAUCACGCAGAAUUCAAUGUGCACCUCAACUCUCCUGUUUCCACCAGAACUGUCCGUCACCACAAUCAAUUAUUGUGCUCUAAAACCAGGUGUUUCACUUUCAUUGUCCAACCCCUGUAUAUAUACACCAUCAAAUAUAGACUAUAUAAUCUGCGGUUUAUAUGUAAAUAAUACUGUGUUUUUGCACUUCAUUUUAAUUAAAUAAUAGAUCUAUGCUUCUUUAGUGUUGCAAUGUUAAUAAACAUAAUUCUGAACAGAUUUCGCUCAUUUAAACAUCCUGAAAAUGUUUUUUAAGCUCAGUUUUAACGCUCUACUUAAAAAAUAUCGGGUUUAAAUC